rnacentral:rRNA from 1 species
UACAGAGGGUGCGAGCGUUGUUCGGAAUUACUGGGCGUAAAGGGCGCGUAGGCGGCCAGCACAAGUCAGUUGUGAAAUCUCCGGGCUUAACUCGGAAAGGUCAACUGAUACUGUGCGGCUAGAGUGCAGAAGGGGCAACUGGAAUUCUCGGUGUAGCGGUGAAAUGCGUAGAUAUCGAGAGGAACACCUGCGGCGAAGGCGGGUUGCUGGGCUGACACUGACGCUGAUGCGCGAAAGCCAGGGGAGCGAACGGG